GACGAACGCUGGCGGCGUGCUUAACACAUGCAAGUCGAACGGAAAGGCCCUGCUUGCAGGGUACUCGAGUGGCGAACGGGUGAGUAACACUUGGGUGAUCUGCCCUGCACUUCGGCAUAAGCCUGGGAAACUGGGUCUAAUCCCGGAUAGGAGCCACUUUUAGUGUGAUGGUUGGAAAGUUUUUUCGGUGUAGGAUGAGCUCGUGGCCUAUCAGCUUGUUGGUGGGGUAAUGGCCUACCAAGGCGGCGACGGGUAGCCGGCCUGGGAGGGUGGACGGCGACAUUGGGACUGAGAGACGGACCAGACUCCUACGGGAGGCAGCAGUGGGGAAUAUGGCACAAUGAGCGCAAGCCUGAUGAAGCGACGCCGCGUGGGGGAUGACGGCCUUCGGGGUGUAAACUCCUUUCGCUAGGGACGAAGCUUUUGUGACGGUACCUAGAGAAGAAGCACCGGCUAACUACGUG
rnacentral:rRNA from 1 species